UUUCUCAAUUUCCAGCAGUUCCUUCAGCCCAUUCAAAACACAUGCCAUCAAAUACAAUACAACAGAAGCCCAGCACACCAAUUUCAACCCAAAUAACCCGGCCCACAACAAUUCCAAACGACCCGACCCCCCAUGCUGAUCUUCUUCUUCCAGCAAAGAACAAACCCAGAAAAGUCCAGCAGCAAAUCCAGCGACCCGAGCCCACUCUCAUUGUGUCGUCUUCUUCCUUUCUCCCUUAUCCUCUCCAUACGGGAAUAGUCUAGGUAUCACAAUCUAAGGCGCUCUUCGUCCUUCACCAAGGAAUCGAACGGCUCAAAUCAAGUUUCCGUUGAGAAUUGGUACAUUUCAGCUGGCCGACCUAUUCGAAUUUGAAUUUUGAAUUUUGAAUUUUAUCCCCUUUCCUCAUCCGAUUUCCCCCCAUUUUUAACCUAGUUCUUACCCUAUAAAUACCCUUUUUCUUCAUUGUUUAAGGUUGGGGGAAAAAAUGAGGCUAGCUUAAGAGAGAAACACACACAAAAAAAAAUAAAAAAAUGGAAAGGAUUUAGAGAGGAAAAGAAUCACUAACCUACAACAUUCAUAAAAGACAUACAUAUUAAAUAUAUACUUUCUUUCAUUGUUUCGGGCUGCUCGGAAUCCGAAUUCCUCAAAGUUUUUUCCGAAGUUGGUGGUGAAGUCCUCUGUAGCUCGUUGUUCUCGGUGUGCUACCCUGGAAAAGAGCGCACUUGAAGACCCAGAAGAAAUACUUGGAAGAAGCCAAAAUAUAUAGAAGAAGGGUAUAAGGUUUGAAGAAGUGAAUACGACUAUUAAGUUAUAGAAGGUAUGUCAUUGGCGUAAGUCAUCAAGCACGUAUGUCUUCAAGAAUUCUCAACAGACUUUGUUUCUACUCAAACAGAAUUACAAAUUAUCUUAUGGAUUGUACGCCAUUGAUGUUGAAGCUUGAUUAUUCUCCAAUUGCACUUAGAAUUCUUUGGAGCUUAGUAUAAUAAAGGGCGAGGACUUCCAAUACGUUGGAGCUCAAUAUAAUAAAUAGGUGAGGCCUUUCAACAGAGGUACUGCUUGCUUUAUCUAUAUGUUGAUAUCUCACAUUGAGAGGAAAUUUUGAAGGUGAAAACCAAAACAAAGCUUGAAGCUCUAUAACUUUCAAACCAACGAGACACUAGAAAAACCUCUGAUGGAUGAAAUUGGUCAAAAGAAGAUGAGUUGGUGGGUAUAAGUGAUCAAAGUAGUAGUUCAAUUCAUGGAUUACCUGAGUUUGAGAUUGUAGUGUUAAAUAAUUUUCGGAGGCAAAAGGUUGCAAUCGUGCUGCUGAAAUUAUGUGAGGAGAUGAUCAAAAAACCAGACUACAAAUUUCUUGUGUUGAAAAUCCUCAAGGCAAGUUGACUUGCGAGAAGUUUGUUCUUCAAAAUGGGCUACUAUCCAGUAACAGACAAAGAGGAGAUGAUACUUAUGAUCAAAGAUACUUCACUCGUAUAAUGUGUUACCUACCAUGGAUAGUCCCAAGGCCUAAGACUGAUUUUUUCUAUAAUGUGUUACCUACAUACUUUUUCUUUUCUAGUACAAUGGAUAGAGACCUAAGCCUUCUGAAGAUUGACUCUAACUAAGUAUAUAACAUUCGAUCCGUAAACAAAAUAUAGUCUAUUGUUAAACAAGAGAAAAAAAAUAUAUUUAACAAGUGAUAUCAGAGUCUAGUGAAAAAAGAAAGGUAGCAACUCAAAGGAAAGGAGAUCCUACAAGCUACUUUCGAAGGCUACAAGUUGCAAGACACUUAUCAAUUGCUCAAGAACUCUCAAUAGCAUUGAGAAACUCAACGAAAAUCACUACGAACCAUGGAGCACAGGAAUGCAAUAUUACUUUCUUGGGAAGGAAUUAUGGGAUAUCAUCAGUGGAUCAGAUACCACACCACCAACAGAUGUGAAGCAGCAAAAAGGCGGAAGGUCAAAACUGGAAAGACCAUGUUUGUUCUUACUGUAACAAUCGAGGAUGCGUUUCUACAACAAAUUAAGAAUGUCAAGAUACCAAAGAAGCUUGGGACACCUUGGCAACAACUUUUACAAAGAAGAAUGAUGUGAGAUUACAAAGGCUUGAAAAUGAGCUUUUAUCAAUCUUUCAACAGAAUAUGACGAUCAGUCUAUACUUCUCAAAGGUAAAAUUGUUAUCUAAUGAAAUAUCAAAAUUAGAUCCUGAAAAAUGCUAUCAUGGAGACAAUAAUGAGAGAAUCAUUGUUCAUGGUCUAAGGUCGGAGUACAAAAGCAUAAUUAUGGCCACACUGGGGUGGGACACAGAAUCACUUUUUAGAGUUGGAAAAUUUGUUGAUAAAUGAAGAAGAUUUGGAGAAGCCAUUAUCAAGCCUUACAAUAAAAAAUGAAGAUAAAGCGCUCUUCACCAAAAGAAAAGAAUACUAAAAAAGAGAAGCGAAGAGAAGCUCGGGGGAGACCAAAAGAAUCAACACAAAUAAAUCAACGACAAAACAAGCAGGCAAAAUGCUUUAACAACCGGAAAAUGGAGAAGUGCUACAAUUGUGUAAAGAAAGGACAUUAUGCCAGAGACUGCUGGCACAAGAAAGUCAAAGGUAAUGUAGCUACUUCUACUCAAAGCAA